GGGGGGGGGUGGCGGGGGGCGGGGCGGAUGCAGGGCGGGCGGGAGGGCGCGUGCUGGCAGGGGGGCGCGGGUGGCGGACGGGGGAGUGACACGUGGGUGAGCUGCCCAGCACUUCGGGAUAAGCCUGGGAAACUGGGGCUAAUGUCGGAUAGGACGAUGGUUGGGAUGCCGGUGUGGGAAGUUGUUUCGGUGUGGGAUGAGCUCGCGGCCUAUCAGCGUGUUGGUGGGGGAAUGGCCUACCAAGGCGGCGACGGGUAGCCGGCCUGAGAGGGUGUACGGCCACAUUGGGACUGAGAUACGGCCCAGACUCCUACGGGAGGCAGCAGUGGGGAAGAUUGCACAAUGGGCGCAAGCCUGAUGCAGCGACGCCGCGUGGGGGAUGACGGCCUUCGGGUUGUAAACUCCUUUCGCUAGGGACGAAGCGCAAGUGACGGUACCUGGAGAAGAAGCACCGGCUAACUACGUG
rnacentral:rRNA from 1 species